rnacentral:rRNA from 1 species
CCCCUACGGGACGCAGCAGUGAGGAAUAUUGGUCAAUGGGCGGGAGCCUGAACCAGCCAUGCCGCGUGAAGGCGAGUGCCCUACGGGCGUUAAACUUCUUUUGUGCGGGAGCAAUAAGGGCCACGUGUGGCCCGAUGAGAGUACCGCACGAAUAAGCAUCGGCUAACUCCGUGCCAGCAGCCGCGGUAAUACGUAUGGUGCAAGCGUUAUCCGGAUUUACUGGGUGUAAAGGGAGCGUAGGCGGCGCGUUAAGUCUGAUGUGAAAACCCGAGGCUCAACCACGGGAGUGCAUUGGAAACUGGCGG